GUUACAGUCGCCUAAGGGAUGGGCCUCAACCUUCUAAGUUGACUCGUGUAGGUUCGAAUCCUAUCUGUAACG
rnacentral:tRNA from 1 species